GAGAAAACAAGGCUCUCAUUUUCAAAGAACUGACCCACUGACGAGAGGAGACAGGCAAUAACGAAUGCAUAUUAUUUCAGAUGCAAUCUGUUGUAUGGAGGAUGAGGGUGAGUCGGGGAGACAGAGGUAGCAGUGGAGAGGGGUCAGUGCUCUGUAGGGUGGCCACAAAGGCCUCCGUGAUAAGUGACACUUGAGCAAAGCAGCAACACCCUGACAUGCAGCUCCCUGGGUCCAAGAAGAACGAACUCUCCACCAGGUGGAACAACCGUUGCUCAGCCUGCUUACAGAUCAGCAGGAAGGCCAUCGGGCUCAACUGACUGGGCGGGGGCUGCUGGGGGCAACAGCAGUGAGGGAUGUGGUGGGCAUGGGAGAAGGGAGUCCCCAGGCACCAGGUGAAAGCAGAAGGCAAUAGGGGGUCCAGUACGGAGGACUAACAUAAUCUAUCCAUCUCUAAGAAGAACUGCCCUGCUCCUCCACGGAGGAUAAAUGGAGAGGGCAAGGGCAGGUGGAGAUGUGGCUCCUGGAAUCAUCCAGGCCAAGAUGCAGUGGGCUGAGUGGGGGCAUGGGGUUGGGGCAGAGAGAAGCAGUCAAAUUCUGGCCAAGUUUAGGAGGCAGAGCCAGGAGGAUCUGCUGCUGGAUUGGAUGUGGGAGAUAAAGAGAGGGGUCCAAAAUAGCCCGAGACACAGAACAGCACUGCCAUUUCCAGAUACGGGGCUGCGUGCAGGAGGGGUAAUGUGGGGAAAUGGAGCUCUGUGUCAGGUGCCUGUUAGACACAUGCAGAAGAAAAUGCGCCCCCACACACCUGGAGCUCAGGUGCAGGCCAGCAUCGGCGGGCGCGGGUGUCCAACCUGUUUACAAACCACAGGUGCACGGGUGAGACCCUAUGCAGUGAGUGUGGACAGAGGAAAGAAACAGCCCAAGGAGUGGGCCAGAGACCCCCAGCAUUCAGAGGCUGGAUAUGAAGAGGGAUCCUCCAAAGAGACCUAGAUGAGGCCAUACCGUGUGGAAGAUAAUGGAAACAUCUUCAGUCAACGCUGGAGAAUAAGCUCUGCCAAGAGGUACUUUGAUAGAGAAGCUGAGCAAUUAACUGGCAGAAAAGAAGGGCGAGAAUAAGAAGCUGGUGUAGGAAGACCUCACCUGAGGAAACGAGUGUGUCCUGCUCAGGUCUGCAUGGAAGUGUGAUCCAAGGGGCUUCUCCACCUUACAGGAGGAUUUGCAGGAAGGCUCCCUUCCAUUCCAUCACUUUCUGACAGAACCAGCUCAUACACAGCUCUGCAGAAGCACACACUCAGGUAAAGCGGGGCAGAAGACCCUGCAGGUGGCUUAGGCCACACCCAAGUAGCCCGAGUCUCAUCCACAUCUUAGCCCCAUGCUUGUCGUUCCAAGGCAGUUCCAGAAGAACUGGUGAGUUUGGGCAAAACCAGGGACUCUGCCCCAUGUUGUUCCCAAGCCACUGUCGACAAGCUUCCCUUUAGUAAGCUCCAUUUAAUAAGCCCUUGACCCGGCUCAGCUGCUGGGCUGCACACCACGAAUGUCCCCUGCACUCCCCCUGGGCAGCCACACACGGGCAGCAAGCCUGCUGGCCUCAGUGAGCUCCACGGCUCACCAUCCCCCAGCCCACCUUCACGGGGCUCCCAGAGCUCUCGCUGUGCCGGGGAUGUGUGUGCUACUUGACUUUCUGACUCUUACUGGAGAUAAUUUGGUUUUGGCAGUAGAUGCCAGAUGUAGUUUGUGAAGCAAAACUCAACCCCGCAGUUAACUCAUAUGGAGCGCCCUUGACUGCCUGGCAGAUUCUUACCCCCCGCCCACCAGCAUGAGAAUGAAUUUGCAUUUGAACUGUCCUCUCCAGGGCACUUCCAAUCCAGAGACAUUUGAAGGGAAGUCGGGGUCAGGAGGGGAAGAUGAGGCCAGGAUCAUGGCCCACCCACCCCAGGGACGGUCCCCAUCUGGACCCCCAGGCGGCAAGUGGGGCCCAAUGGGAACCUGACCGAGAAAACCAAGCUCUCAGACAGCCUUCCCUUCUGGCAAGAGUGGCACACAUGACCAGAGACUAUCACCAGAGGGGGUGUGAUUCAAGGCUAUAGCUUUACUGCAACUCAGGACAGUGAGCCCAAGCCAGGUGUUGGGUUGGGCCCCAGAACAAGGCUUAAAUGCGGACGUGGACACACCUCGAAGGAGGGCUGCUCCGCCCCUGCUGCUCGGGCGUUGGGGGUGGGGGGCGGGGGCCACUGAGCUGGGCCUUCUGUCCUCCUCCCUGGAUGUGCAGACAUGGGCCAUGGCUUCUGCCAGGACUCACAUGUGAGCUGGGCCUUCUGUCCUCCUCCCUGGAUGUGCAGACAUGGGCCAUGGCUUCUGCCAGGACUCACAUGUGAGCUGGGCCUUCUGUCCUCCUCCCUGGAUGUGCAGACAUGGGCCAUGGCUUCUGCCAGGACUCACAUGUGAGCUGGGCCUUCUGUCCUCCUCCCUGGAUGUGCAGACACGGGCCAUGGCUUCUGCCAGGACUCACAUGUCCUCCUCACUGAACACCAGAGACACUUGCUAACUCGGGAAGACGCAGGGUGAGGAUUUCUGUUUCUCCAGCCCAGCCUGUCACCCUGUGGGAAGCAGCGAGUGGGAAGGGAAAGGGGAAGUCACAUGUUUCUCACGCCGAGUUCCUUCCAGAAUCCCAAAGAAGGCUCAGAAGGUUGUGAAGGAAGAACAAAGUCAGCUCAGAUGGAUCAAGAAGAGAACUUCAGUGUGGAGGCCCAAGAAGGCAGGGGUCUUGUGCCUUUCCUUGGAUUCCUGGAAAUCACAUUCAUUGCUCCUCACUGCCGCCCCCCGAAGCAGACAUCCUUGCAGAAACCGACUGCAGCCCAGGGGAGACAAGAGGCCAGCUCAGUGUUCACAGUGUUUAUCACGAGCAUGCAGACGAUGCACGCGUGCAGUGCUAACAGGACAGGGGCCACAGCCCAGCGGAGUUUCUCUGGCCCACUCAGAAGUGGCCUCAUGUAUGGGACAACCCAGCCUCCAC
rnacentral:lncRNA from 1 species